rnacentral:rRNA from 1 species
UGAUGACGAGACGCUAAGGCGUUGAAGCAGUGUAUGUCAGACUUCCAAGAAAAGCUCGCAAUGUCACAAAUAAAAAUGCCUGUACCAUAACCGACACAGGUGGGUAGGUAGAGUAUACUAAGGGGCGCGAGAUAACUCUCUCUAAGGAACUCGGCAAAAUGACUCCGUAACUUCGGGAGAAGGAGUGCCUUAUUUAUAAGGUUGCAAUAACAAGAUCCAAGCAACUGUUUAUCAAAAACACAGGUCUCCGCUAAGUCGUAAGACGAUGUAUGGGGGCUGACGCCUGCCCAGUGCCAGAAGGUUAAAGAAGUUGGUUAGUGUAUGCGAAGCUGAUGACUGAAGCCCUGGUGAACGGCGGCCGUAACUAUAACGGUCCUAAGGUAGCGAGAUUCCUUGUCGGGUAAGUUCCGACCCGCACGAAAGGCGUAAUGAUUUGGAUACUGUCUCGGAGAGAGGCUCGGUGAAAUAGACUUGUCUGUGAAGAUGCGGACUACCUGCACCAGGACAGAAAGACCCUAUGAAGCUUUACUGUAACUUGAAAUUGGAAUUGGACUUUGCUUGCGCAGUAUAGGUGGGAAGCGUUGAAAAUAUUCUUGCGGGAGUAUUGGAGCUAUCAGUGAGAUACCACUCUUGUAAUGUUAGAUUUCUAACUUUGAACCAUAAUCUGGUCAAAGAACAGUUUCAGGUGGGCAGUUUGACUGGGGUGGUCGCCUCCCAAAUGGUAACGGAGGCGUACAAAGGUUUCCUCUGAACGGAUAGAAAUCGUAUCUAGAGUGUAAAGGCAUAAGGAAGCUUGACUGUGAGACCUACAAGUCGAGCAGGGACGAAAGUCGGUCUUAGUGAUCUGACGGUACUGAGUGGAAAGGCCGUCACUCAACGGAUAAAAGUUACUCUAGGGAUAACAGGCUGAUCUCCCCCAAGAGUUCACAUCGACGGGGAGGUUUGGCACCUCGAUGUCGGCUCAUCGCAUCCUGGGGCGGUAGUACGUCCCAAGGGUUGGGCUGUUCGCCCAUGAAAGCGGUACGCGAGCUGGGUUCAGAACGUCGUGAGACAGUUCGGUCCAUAUCCGGUGUAGGCGCUAGAAUAUUGAGAGGAGCCUUCUUUAGUACGAGAGGACCGAGAAGGACACACCGCUGGUGUACCAGUUAUCGUGCCAACGGUAAACGCUGGGUAGCUAUGUGUGGAGUGGAUAACCGCUGAAAGCAUCUAAGUGGGAAGCCCACCUCGAGAUGAGUAUUCCC